ensembl:miRNA
UCCCUGGGGACCCCUGGCAGCCCCUCCUGAUGAUUCUUCUUCCUGAGCACGCUCAUGAUGAGCAAACUGAGCCUCUAAGAAGUUGACUGAAGGGGCUGCUUCCCCAGGGA